rnacentral:rRNA from 1 species
GAUGAACGCUGGCGGCGUGCCUAAUACAUGCAAGUCGAGCGAACGGACGAGAAGCUUGCUUCUCUGAUGUUAGCGGCGGACGGGUGAGUAACACGUGGAUAACCUACCUAUAAGACUGGGAUAACUUCGGGAAACCGGAGCCAAUACCGGAUAAUAUUUUGAACCGCAUGGUUCAAAAGUGAAAGACGGUCUUGCUGUCACUUAUAGAUGGAUCCGCGCUGCAUUAGCUAGUUGGUAAGGUAACGGCUUACCAAGGCAACGAUGCAUAGCCGACGUGAGAGGGUGAUCGGCCACACUGGAACGGAGACACGGUCCAGACUCCUACGGGAGGCAGCAGUAGGGAAUCUUCCGCAAUGGGCGAAAGCCUGACGGAGCAACGCCGCGUGAGUGAUGAAGGUCUUCGGAUCGUAAAACUCUGUUAUUAGGGAAGAACAUAUGUGUAAGUAACUGUGCACAUCUUGACGGUACCUAAGCAGAAAGCCACGGCUAACUACGUG